rnacentral:pre_miRNA from 9 species
CAAGAUUGGAUUGACAUGAAAUUGCUGGAUGGACUGGAACUUGUGCAAUGCAGAAUUUGAUAUGUAUUGCACUUGUCCCGGCCUUUCUACAAUUUUUAUUCUCCUUUUUCUGUUUU